rnacentral:rRNA from 1 species
AGAGUUUGAUCCUGGCUCAGGACGAACGCUGGCGGCGCGCCUAACACAUGCAAGUCGAACGAGCGAGAGAGAGCUUGCUUUCUCAAGCGAGUGGCGAACGGGUGAGUAACGCGUGAGGAACCUGCCUCAAAGAGGGGGGCAACAGUUGGAAACGACUGCUAAUACCGCAUAAGCCCACGGGUCGGCAUCGACCAGAGGGAAAAGGAGCAAUCCGCUUUGAGAUGGCCUCGCGUCCGAUUAGCUAGUUGGUGAGGUAACGGCCCACCAAGGCGACGAUCGGUAGCCGGACUGAGAGGUUGAACGGCCACAUUGGGACUGAGACACGGCCCAGACUCCUACGGGAGGCAGCAGUGGGGAAUAUUGCACAAUGGGGGAAACCCUGAUGCAGCGACGCCGCGUGGAGGAAGAAGGUCUUCGGAUUGUAAACUCCUGUUGUUGAGGAAGAUAAUGACGGUACUCAACAAGGAAGUGACGGCUAACUACGUGCCAGCAGCCGCGGUAAAACGUAGGUCACAAGCGUUGUCCGGAAUUACUGGGUGUAAAGGGAGCGCAGGCGGGAAGACAAGUUGGAAGUGAAAUCUAUGGGCUCAACCCAUAAACUGCUUUCAAAACUGUUUUUCUUGAGUAGUGCAGAGGUAGGCGGAAUUCCCGGUGUAGCGGUGGAAUGCGUAGAUAUCGGGAGGAACACCAGUGGCGAAGGCGGCCUACUGGGCACCAACUGACGCUGAGGCUCGAAAGUGUGGGUAGCAAACAGGAUUAGAUACCCUGGUAGUCCACACCGUAAA